rnacentral:rRNA from 1 species
UACGUAGGGGGCUAGCGUUGUCCGGAUUUAUUGGGCGUAAAGAGCGUGUAGGCGGCCAGGUAGGUCUGCUGUGAAAACUCGAGGCUUAACCUCGAGAUGUCGGCGGAAACCAUCUGGCUAGAGUCCGGAAGAGGAGAGUGGAAUUCCUGGUGUAGCGGUGGAAUGCGCAGAUAUCAGGAGGAACACCAAUAGCGAAGGCAGCUCGCUGGGACGUUACUGACACUGAGGCGCGAAAGCGUGGGGAGCGAACAGG